rnacentral:rRNA from 1 species
CAGCCGCCGCGGGAAUACGAAGGGUGCAAGCGUUAAUCGGAAUUACUGGGCGUAAAGCGUGCGUAGGCGGUGAGUUAAGUCUGCUGUGAAAUCCCCGGGCUCAACCUGGGAAUGGCAGUGGAUACUGGCUCGCUAGAGUGUGUCAGAGGAUGGUGGAAUUCCCGGUGUAGCGGUGAAAUGCGUAGAGAUCGGGAGGAACAUCAGUGGCGAAGGCGGCCAUCUGGGACAACACUGACGCUGAGGCACGAAAGCGUGGGGAGCAAACGGGAUUAGAUACCCCUGUAGUCCCUGUCUCUUAUAA